rnacentral:lncRNA from 1 species
AUGGAGUCUAGCACUAUGAAUGUAGAAAAAGAAUCAAAACAGUACUCCGUCAGCGAAAAGUUAAGCUUAAGUCUCUUUAAAUUAUUAGACAUGAACUAUGAUGUGACUGAUGAUUCAAUUUUAUCGAAACUUGCUUCAUUUCUGGGGGAAUUUCCCUUUGAGUAUGCACCCAAUCUGUAUGAAACCAUUUACAAGGAUUGGUUAACUGCAUGUGUUAGUCAUUGGAAGAACGGAACCCUAAAACCUACAGUUGCAGUUUUUUCCAUUCAUGUUCUUAGAACUUUGUGUUCAAACCCAAUGCACUUUGAUCUCUUGAAUAAUGAAAAGCUUAUUUUAGAACAGUAUCAAGGGUUGAUUGAAAAAAAACUGAAAACAAAUCCUCUUUUUCCUAUUGCUUAUUCCAAAUUACUGACCGGCCUCAUAUCUCAUGAAAAAGGCUUAGACUACGUAGUUCAAAACGAAUUGUGGAAAAUGGUCUUGUCAAUGUACAUCACAGAUGAAAGUUUGUAUGUGAAGAAAGAAAGCAGAGAGUUUUUGGUUGCUAUUUGUGCCAAAUCCUGCAGAAGGAGUGAAGAUGAUUUUUUGAAGAUUGUAUCUCAGAUUUUUGAGUCUUACGAAAAGUAUCGCCAGAGUUGCUCUGUAUUUUCCCUUAAAAAUGAAUACAAAAAGUACAAUCAAAUCUUAAAUUUACUAAUUUCAGUGCUAGAGAGUUUUUUAAUGCAACAAGAGUUUGGAGUUGCAAAAAAGUAUUUCACUGUAAGAACUAGUUUUUAUGAAAAUUUGUGGUCUGAUUUUCAAACAACACAAAGUAAUGAAACUCUCAUAAAAAUUGGCAAACUAUUAGUUAUAAAUGAGGUUUUAAAUUUCAAACAAAAGGAAAGUACAGCACUUGAACAUGACCAUAGCAGCAAUUUUGAAGAAUUCCUUGCUAAAAUUUUGAUACGAUUUCUUGAGCGAGAUUCCUUGCGAGAAGUUACUCUGAUGUGUGAGUUGGCUGCAAAAUACUGUAAAGUAAACAUAAAAAUGGUGGAGUCUGGACUAUUAGAAAGUUUAUUAGCUAUUAGACUGACUCCUGUUCAUGUUCUAUUACAACAACACAGUUCUGAAAGUGAAAAGAUGGCAGAAGAUUAUAGUUUCUGA